AGGGAAUUAGCCAAGUGGUAAAGGCACACGACUUUGACUCGUGUAUCACAGGUUCAAAUCCUGUAUUCCCUUCCA
rnacentral:tRNA from 1 species